AAUAGAUACCCGGGUAGUCCACGCCGUAAACGAUGAGUGCUAAGUGUUAGAGGGUUUCCGCCCUUUAGUGCUGCAGCUAACGCAUUAAGCACUCCGCCUGGGGAGUACGGUCGCAAGACUGAAACUCAAAGGAAUUGACGGGGGCCCGCACAAGCGGUGGAGCAUGUGGUUUAAUUCGAAGCAACGCGAAGAACCUUACCAGGUCUUGACAUCCCACUGACCGGUAUAGAGAUAUACCUUUCCCUUCGGGGACAGUGGUGACAGGUGGUGCAUGGUUGUCGUCAGCUCGUGUCGUGAGAUGUUGGGUUAAGUCCCGCAACGAGCGCAACCCUUGAUCUUAGUUGCCCAGCAUUUAGUUGGGCACUCUAAGGUGACUGCCGGUGACAAACCGGAGGAAGGUGGGGAUGACGUCAAAUCAUCAUGCCCCUUAUGACCUGGGCUACACACGUGCUACAAUGGAUGGUACAAAGGGCUGCAAGACUGCGAAGUCAAGCCAAUCCCAUAAAACCAUUCUCAGUUCGGAUUGCAGG
rnacentral:rRNA from 1 species